AUUUAUGAUAAUUAAGACUGAGCUAACAGAUGAGAAUCCUAGUCAUUGGCCAAGCAGCUUUGAACAUAAUACAAGUUUCUGUGUAUUCAUUUGGGCCUAACUCGGGCGGGUGGCUGGCAUAAAGUGCACAUGUUGCAGUGGGGCUCGGUGGCUUUUGGCAGAAAGAUUUAUCGUAACACACCUAUCUUGAUUUCCUAUUGGCCAACAGUACUUUACUUAACAACCAAUAAGAUAAACAUAUGUACAGAAGGACCUCCCCUAUCAGGAGGUGGUAGAGGAAGCUGAGAGAUGCUUCGGCCAUGAAAGGGACAAGAAGACAAGAAAUGUGUCAUAUGUGAAAGAUGGUGAAUGACAGCUGUGUCUCAAUGUCAUGACCUGCUUAGUCCUAUGUAGAAAUAUCACCACAGCCGGGGGACAGGCUCUGUGAAUUAGCCACCCAGAAGUAGAAGUUGCACAGGAUAUAAAUGUAAAACAAGACGUUCCUUCUCUCUUGAGUUGCAACUGAGCUGUGAAAACUGCAUUCCUGUUGUCUGGAGCCUCAGUUGUUUCUUGGUUCAGCUGAACUUGCCACAAAUGCUGACAGACAAACUGUCAACCUAACUGGUUUCUACCAAUUGGCCACUCACAGACACCAGUGAGAUGCAGGAUCAGAACUGAAUUCUGAUAUAGACAAUGACAGCUGGACCUCUGUACAGAACCAGAGAGAACACAACAGCUGAGUAAAUGUUCAUUGCAAGCAUCACUCAUUCAUGAGAAUGUCUGAAGACCUACAGGAAUUUCUCAUAAAUACAACCUUGUAUGCUUGAAGAAAGACUGGUAGAAUACCAGUUACAGCAGUUGGAGUAUUUGUUAUUAUUUAUACAUGUCUGCUCUGAAGCUGCUUAUGAGAAGAAAUUGGACCCACAUUUAGCUCUCUCCUCACAAUGUCCAGCAUUGGUGUUAGCUUGACAACGGCUCAUUUCCAAUCCUUUGUGGGAAUUGCAAAUCUCCCCUGCUUCGAUCUGGGAGCCCUCACCCAGUGGCUGAUGGAAGCAGAGACAGACAUCCAUAGAUAUACACUGAGCUGAAAUUUGGAAUUUAGUUGAAGAGAGGGAGGAAUGAAGAACGAAGGGGUCUGUACCAGGUUGGAGAAACCCACAGGAACAGUUGGCCUGAACAAGGGAGA
rnacentral:lncRNA from 1 species